rnacentral:rRNA from 1 species
GACGAACGCUGGCGGCGUGCCUAAUACAUGCAAGUAGAACGCUGAAGGAGGAGCUUGCUUCUCUGGAUGAGUUGCGAACGGGUGAGUAACGCGUAGGUAACCUGCCUGGUAGUGGGGGAUAACUAUUGGAAACGAUAGCUAAUACCGCAUAAUAGCAGUUGUUGCAUGAUAACUGUUUGAAAGGUGCAAUUGCACCGCUACCAGAUGGACCUGCGUUGUAUUAGCUAGUUGGUGGGGUAACGGCUCACCAAGGCGACGAUACAUAGCCGACCUGAGAGGGGGAUCGGCCACACUGGGACUGAGACACGGCCCAGACGCCUACGGGAGGCAGCAGUAGGGAAUCUUCGGCAAUGGACGGAAGUCUGACCGAGCAACGCCGCGUGAGUGAAGAAGGUUUUCGGAUCGUAAAGCUCUGUUGUAAGAGAAGAAAGAGUGUGAGAGUGGAAAGUUCACACUGUGACGGUAUCUUACCAGAAAGGGACGGCUAACUACGUG